rnacentral:tRNA from 1 species
GACAAAAUGGCUGAGAUUUAGGCAUUAGAUUGUAAAUUUAAUUACGGGAGAAUCCCUUUUGUUA